rnacentral:rRNA from 1 species
CCGGCGACCGGCGCACGGGUGAGUAACACGUAUGCAACCUGCCCUCCGCAGGGGGAUAAACCCGGAGAAAUCCGGACUAAUACCGCGUGGUACAUCUGUGGGGCAUCCCACGGGUGUUAAAAGGAAGCGAUUCCGGCGGAGGAUGGGCAUGCGGCGCAUUAGCUAGUUGGCGGGGUAACGGCCCACCAAGGCGACGAUGCGUAGGGGUUCUGAGAGGAAGGUCCCCCACACUGGUACUGAGACACGGACCAGACUCCUACGGGAGGCAGCAG